rnacentral:misc_RNA from 1 species
UUUCCGUUGGUGAACCAGCUGAAGGAUCAUUACAGAGAUCAUGCCCCUCGCGGGUAGACCUCCCACCCUGUGUUAUUUACGAUUGUUGCUUUGGCAGGUCGCCUUCGGGCACUCGGCUCCGGCUGAGGUGCGCCUGCCAGAGGACCCCAACUCUGUGUUUAGUGUCGUCUGAGUACUAUUUUAAUACGUUAAAACUUUCAACAACGGAUCUCUUGGUUCUGGCAUCGAUGAAGAACAGC